GGUUCCAUGGCCCAAUGGAUAAGGCGCUGGUCUACGAAACCAGAGAUUCUGGGUUCGAUCCCCAGUGGAAUCGUUC
rnacentral:tRNA from 1 species